rnacentral:rRNA from 1 species
UGGGGAAUAUUGGACAAUGGGCGCAAGCCUGAUCCAGCCAUGCCGCGUGUGUGAAGAAGGCCUUUUGGUUGUAAAGCACUUUAAGCGAGGAGGAGGCUACUUGGAUUAAUACUCUAGGAUAGUGGACGUUACUCGCAGAAUAAGCACCGGCUAACUCUGUGCCAGCAGCCGCGGUAAUACAGAGGGUGCGAGCGUUAAUCGGAUUUACUGGGCGUAAAGCGUGCGUAGGCGGCUUUUUAAGUCGGAUGUGAAAUCCCUGAGCUUAACUUAGGAAUUGCAUUCGAUACUGGGAAGCUGGAGUAUGGGAGAGGAUGGUAGAAUUCCAGGUGUAGCGGUGAAAUGCGUAGAGAUCUGGAGGAAUACCGAUGGCGAAGGCAGCCAUCUGGCCUAAUACUGACGCUGAGGUACGAAAGCAUGGGGAGCAAACAGG